rnacentral:rRNA from 1 species
CUACGGAGGGUGCAAGCGUUAUCCGGAUUUAUUGGGUUUAAAGGGUGCGCAGGCGGACCUGUCAGUCAGUGGUGAAAUCCCGGGGCUCAACCCCGGAACUGCCAUUGAUACUACAGGUCUUGAAUACGGUUGAAGUAGGCGGAAUGUAGCAUGUAGCGGUGAAAUGCAUAGAUAUGCUACAGAACACCGAUCGCGAAGGCAGCUUACUAAGCCGAUAUUGACGCUCAGGCACGAAAGCGUGGGUAGCGAACAGGAUUAGAUACCCCAGUAGUCC